GUCGAGGAGAAAGUGUAGUUGCUCCUACCUGCUGCUGACUGUCCAACGAACCCAACCUGAACCUACUGCACUCUUCUCGCCGAAAUGGAGACCAACUCCGAUUCCCCACCAACGGAGGAGUACGGGCGCCGGCUGUUCGCGGCUAGGUCCGGCAUCCUCACCGUCGAGGCGCUCUUCCGGUCUCAGUCCGUGGCGGGGAGAGCCAUGCGCGCGCUGGUGCACGACCCGCACCUCCUGUGAGCAGGUCGCCGGCGGUGCCCUUCUCGCAGCCAUGCACGGUGGACGUCCUCUGCGGGGAGACCUUCGCCAGGCGUGUAGGGCCGCGUAUCGUGGGCGGCGGGUGCGCUGCUGAGUGUUGUUCGUCAACUCGUUCCAUGAAACCGAGCAGACGGUGAGGGAGAAGGAUUACCUGGCGUCAACAUGGCGUGUGAAGUCCAUCAGCCCGACAGCGCCGCCGUUCUACCUGACGACCAUUGGUUUGACCUCUUUGAGUAUUGAGAGCAGAGCACCGUGCAUGGCAUGGCUGGAUAGCCAGCUCCCUUGCUCAGUCGUCUAUGCCCUUCUAACUUCUAUGAAACUGUCACUGACCUUGACCAAAGUCUGUUAGAGGAGAUAGUCAAUGGAGUCUGCAAAUCUGGUAAGCAGUUCCUCUGGGGUCUCUGAUCCGUUCACGAAUACAAGGUUUCAGAGCAAGCCCGUGAAGUGUAGGAUAGAGGGCUAAAUGUUGAAUGGUGUCCCCAGCUUGAAGUUUUACCACACAAGGCCUAAGGUAUGUAUGUUUUACUUACAACUGAUUGUGUGAUUUAUUAAGCAGCAGAAGAAAAAAAAUCCAUAUAGCCAUCUUACAGGUUCGUAUAUGAACAUUUGAACACUGUGCCACUGAAUGUGUAAAGUACAUUGUCAAAGUUUAUAAGCAGAGCAAUAUAAUAACCAUCACUGUUUAUGUGAGGUGUUGUGAUGUCUGAUAAUGUUACUGCAUAGUAAUAUUCCCUAAUUGUUCUUAUUUUUCAGAUGAUGAAAUGAAAUAAAUGUUAACGUCCUAGCAAUUACAGAUUAGUGUGCAAAGGCGCCAUUCUCCAGUUAUAGCAACACAAUGCCAUAUUAAUCAAUUUCAAUGUGAAAAAGGCAACACAAUGCCAAAUCUUGUAAGCUGUAGCUUAUCUCUUAAUUAAAUCUAAUUAUGUCUAACUCAAAGUAUAAAAGGGAUGUGAAUCCUGCAUAAUGUGUAGUGAACAUAUGGAGUGAUCUGUUCCAAAUAAUUAAGUAGCUAGUAAAAAAAUAUUAUGUCCGUUCUGAACUCAUCAACAGGUUGUUUCUUAACUCCGUGCGGAUGGAGCUCUGCAAUAGAAGCAAUUACUACUGGCGUACCACUGUUGGCAAUGCCUCAGUAAAUGUUUUUUUUCGAGGAGCCUCUGUAAAUGAUUAACCAACUACAACAAUGCAUUGGUGUGGUGACAAACGAAAAUUGGUGUGCGGAUGCAUCAUGGUAAAGGUGCAGUGAGAAACCAAGAGAUCAGUAAGAAAAGAAAUUAGUUUAAGACAGAGCAAAACUACGCAACUUCAAAAGAUGGGUGAAGACGAGGAGAUACUAAAGCUUCAAGUCCUGAAUGAAGGUGAGCGACAGUACAUGAUUAGCACAAGGUUUUUGGUGCUGUUUCAUCAGGUCCGGUUAUUGAAGCAAAAAAAAAAUUGUUCGAGGGUGCAAGAAGCCAAGAUUAGCAGAAGGCUGAAGGUGACUCAGGGUCCGGUGACGGAAGCAACAAAAUGCAUUGUUAUUUCUCCUCUCCUUAUCCCAGUAGAUGGUGUGAAAAAUGGGCACGAGUUAUCUUCAUUUGCCAUAUGUAAACAAGACAUUUACGAUGGCUACAUACUUAGAACAUGUAGGCAAAAAUCCUACACAUGCAGAAAAUAACUUAUUGACCCAUCUCUUCGCUUAACUAAUCCCUCCUCCUUUGAUUUUCAGCCAUACCUUGACGUCUAAACCAGUACUUCUAACCGUGUACAAUUCCUUCCUAGGUGUAGCGUCUCUCUAUUAUUGGCACUCUCCGUAUACGGCUGCAUCCUGAAGAGAAAAAAGGGCCACACAAAUUUGUAAUGCAAUGUGUGAUG